UACCUUUCAGUAAAUCCCUCUGAAGGCAUUAAAAGAGAAAUGAUUUGUGGGGCCCAAGUUGCCUUCCUUUUAGCAGUCUUCCAAGGUGUGCAAUCGGCAGUCCAGCUGGUGGAGUCUGGAGGAGAUGUCAAAAGGCCCGGAGAUUCCCUCCACCUCUCCUGCCAAGCCUCUGGGUUCACCUACACCAACUAUUACAUGGGUUGGGUGAGACAGGCUCCUGGAAAGGGCCUGGAAUGGGUGGCCCUUAUACAUCCAUCCUCAAGCCCCAUCUACUACUCAGAUGCAGUGAAAGGCCGUUUCACCAUUUCCAGAGAUAAUUCCAACAGCCAGCUAUAUCUGCAAAUGAACAGCCUGAAAGCAGAGGACACCGCUGUGUAUUACUGUGCAAAAUACACAGUGACAGGAAGUGAAUCGGAAGCCAGGCAAAAACCCUCUUUUGCUUAUGAUACUCUCAGAGGCUGA